AACGAACGUUGGCGGCGUGGAUGAGGCAUGCAAGUCGAACGCGAAAGCUUCCUUCGGGAAGUGAGUAGAGUGGCGAACGGGUGAGUAACACGUAAUCAAGCUACCUCCGAGACUGGGAUAACUGCGGGAAACUGCAGCUAAUACCGGAUAGUCCUUCUAGACCGCAUGGUCUGGUUGGUAAAUGGUUGGGAUCCUUCGGGACCUUCUGCUAGGAGAGGUGAUUGCGGCCUAUCAGCUAGUUGGUGGUGUAAUAGACCACCAAGGCGACGACGGGUAGCGGGCCUGAGAGGGUGGCCCGUCACACUGGGACUGAGACACUGCCCAGACUCCUACGGGAGGCUGCAGUCGAGAAUCUUCCGCAAUGGACGCAAGUCUGACGGAGCGACGCCGCGUGUAGGACGAAGGCCCUAGGGUUGUAAACUACUGUCA
rnacentral:rRNA from 1 species